rnacentral:rRNA from 1 species
CCCAGCGGUGGUGUGUUUUUAUUCGAUGCACGCGAAAACCUUUCUACCCUUGACAUGUCAGGAAUCUUGCAGAGAUGUGAGAGUGCUCGAAAGAGAACCUGAACACAGGUGCUGCAUGGCCGUCGUCAGCUCGUGUCGUGAGAUGUUGGGUUAAGUCCCGCAACGAGCGCAACCCUUGUCAUUAGUUGCUACGAAAGGGCACUCUAAUGAGACUGCCGGUGACAAACCGGAGGAAGGUGGGGAUGACGUCAGGUCAUCAUGGCCCUUAUGGGUAGGGCUACACACGUCAUACAAUGGCCGGGACAGAGGGCUGCCAACCCGCGAGGGGGAGCUAAUCCCAGAAACCCGGUCGUAGUCCGGAUCGCAGUCUGCAACUCGACUGCGUGAAGUCGGAAUCGCUAGUAAUCGCGGAUCAGCUUGCCGCGGUGAAUACGUUCCCGGGUCUUGUACACACCGCCCG